GACCACCAUAAGAGCGCCUCCUAACCC
rnacentral:piRNA from 1 species